AAAAACAACAAAAAUACGCUGUCAGUUUGAGUUGUCAAUAUAGCUCUCUAUUUUUAUGCUGCCAGUGAGGUGAAUGCUUAUAAAGGUAUGAUAUUGUAUAAAGCUUUUGUCAGAAAAUUAUUUAUAUUUAAUUAUAUAUUAAACUGUGGUGCUAUUUAUUUUUUAUGUUUCUAACUGCCAGUAUUAUCUUACAGUAUUAUUGUAACUUAAAUUUAAGACGUUUUCAAAGAAUUUAAAUAACUGCUAAAAAUGUAAAGAAAUCCUUUUUUUUUUUG